rnacentral:rRNA from 1 species
AACAAGGAUUCCCCUAGUAACUGCGAGUGAAGCGGGAAAAGCUCAAAUUUAAAAUCUGGCAGUCUCUGGCUGUCCGAGUUGUAAACUAGAGAAGUGCUAUCCGCGCUGGACCAUGUACAAGUCUCCUGGAACGGAGCGUCACAGAGGGUGAGAAUCCCGUCUUUGACAUGGACUACCAGUGCAUUGUGAUGCGCUCUCAAAGAGUCGAGUUGUUUGGGAAUGCAGCUCAAAAUGGGUGGUAAACUCCAUCUAAAGCUAAAUAUUGGCGAGAGACCGAUAGCGAACAAGUACCGUGAGGGAAAGAUGAAAAGAACUUUGGAAAGAGAGUUAAACAGUACGUGAAAUUGUUGAAAGGGAAACGCUUGAAGUCAGUCGCAUUGGCCGGAGAUCAAUCUUGCUCUCGCGAGGUGUACUCUCUGGUCAAUGGGUCAGCAUCAAUUUUGACCGGUGGAAAAAGGUCAGGGGAAUGUGGCAUCUUCGGAUGUGUUAUAGCCUCUGGUCGUAUACACCGGUUGGGAUNGAGGAACUCAGCACGCCGCAAGGCCGGGUCUCUGACCACGUUCGUGCUUAGGAUGCUGGCAUAAUGGCUUUAAUCGACCCGU